rnacentral:rRNA from 1 species
UACGUAGGUGGCAAGCGUUGUCCGGAUUUACUGGGCGUAAAGAGCGCGCAGGCGGUCGGAUAAGUCGAAUGUGAAAGCCCCGGCUUAACUGGGGAGGGUCAUUCGAUACUGUUCGACUGGAAGGCAGGAGAGGGAAGCGGAAUUCCCGGUGUAGUGGUGAAAUGCGUAGAUAUCGGGAGGAACACCAGUGGCGAAGGGCG